rnacentral:rRNA from 1 species
AAUCUCCAGGGAGGUAGGCGGUGAAAAAUGCGUAGAGAUCUGGAAGGAAAUACCCGUGGCGAAGGGUGACCCCCCUGGACAAAGACUGACGCUCAGGUGCGAAAAGCGUGUGGAGCAACAGGAUUAGAUACCCUGGUAGUCCCACGCUGUAAAACGAUGUCGACUUGGAGGUUGUGCCCUUGAGGCGUGGCUUCCGGGAGCUAACGCGUAAGUCGACCGCCCUGGGGAGUACGGCCGCAAGGUUAAAACUCAAAUGAAUUGACGGGGGCCCGCACAAAGCGGUGGAGCAUGUGGUUUAAUUCGAUGCAACGCGAAGAACCUUACCUACUCUUGACAUCCAGAGAAUUCGCUAGGGAUAGCUUAGUGCCUUCGGGAACUAUGAGACAGGUGCUGCAUGGCUGUCGUCAGCUCGUGUUGUGAAAUGUUGGGUUAAGUCCCGCAACGAGCGCAACCCUUAUCCUUUGUUGCCAGCACGUAAUGGUGGGAACUCAAAGGAGACUGCCGGUGAUAAACCGGAGGAAGGUGGGGAUGACGUCAAGUCAUCAUGGCCCUUACGAGUAGGGCUACACACGUGCUACAAUGGCGUAUACAAAGAGAAGCGAACUCGCGAGAGCAAGCGGACCUCAUAAAGUACGUCGUAGUCCGGAUCGGAGUCUGCAACUCGACUCCGUGAAGUCGGAAUCUCCAGUUUUAGUAGAUCAGAAUGCUACGGUGAAUACGUUCCCCUCCCUUUACACACCGCCC